AACAGGCUACAGUUUGGCUUUUGGCUUGAAGGCCAUAGUUUGCUGAUCCCCACUGUAGAGCGUCAGUCUUUGAUUUCCUUUCUCUGGCUGGGAUUCUUUUGCAGGAUGAGUGCAGAGGUUCCAUGCUUCCUGGGGAGAGGUAUUCCUCUUGUGUGAGAUGUGAGGACAGGGAUUCAUGGACAAGCUCGAGUCAUUUCUGGUGUUCUACUGGAUCAAACAAAUGUUCCUGGAUGGAGUGAGGUUAUGUGUUGUUCCUCUACUGAACCAAGCAGGGGUUACUAUACAGGACGAAGCAGUUGUUUCUACGGAGCUCCAGACUAGGGAUUCCCAUCCAAGUUCAGGAUGGGGCUCCUUAGACUGCAUUAUGACAGGUUCCUAUAUAGAGAUCAGGUAGCCCAAUUUGGGGUCGGCACAGGUGUUUCUGUACAGGUUCAGAGCUGUGCUCAUAUAGACAUAAGAUCAGCUGUUCAUGUCCAGGUUCAGUCAAGAGAUUGUUACUAACUGGGCUAAAUUAUGCUAGGUGCUGUAAAAGCCAGAAUCUCAGAGGCUUCACAAACACAUGUUUAUUUCUAACUCAUGUGAAAUCCAAUAUGAAUAUUACUGGUUAUUCAUGGACCCAGACAACUUCCAUUUUGCACCUCUGCUCUCCUCUGAACGCUUGGAGUUCACACUAUUCAUCUGGUAGAUGGGGAAAGAGUAUCAUGGAGAACUGUUUGAGAGACUUUUAUGGGCCAGGCCUGGAAGUGUAUGUUACUCUGCCCAUACUCUAUUGGUCAGAAGUCUGGCACAUGUCCAUAUCUAACUGUAAGGGAGGUUGGAAAAGUAAAUGAGCUCAGGAAGAAAGGGAACAGGAUUGAAGAGCCUAUAAUUGUGCAUGCUACAGGAUUUUAUAGACUGCAGAACUAUGCUGUCCAGUGCAGUAGCCACUAGCCACACGGGGCUACUGGGCUCUUGAAAUGUAGCCAGUCCAACUUGAGAUGUAAGUGUAGAAUUCACACUGGAUUUCAAAAAAAUUGGUAUGAAAAAAUAUCUCCAUAACUUUCAUAUUGAUUAUGUAUUGAAAUGAAAUAUAGUUGACCCUUGAACAAAACGGGUUUGAGCUGAGUCCACUUACGUGCAGUUUAUUUUUUCAAUAAAUACUACAGUACUGCACUGUGAGGUUGGUUGACUCCAUGGAUGUUAAACUGCAGAUAUGGAGGAACCAAGAAUACAGAAGGCUGACUGUAAAUUAUACAUGGGUUUUCAACUGCACGUGGGUGUCAGUGCCCCUAACCCCUGCAUUAUUUAAGGGUCAACUAUUUAAAUAUAUUGGGUAAAGUAAAGUGUAUUAUCAAAAUUAAUUUUACCUAUUUUUCCUCUUUUCAAUGCAGCUACAUGAAAAAUUUAAAUUACACAUGUGGCUCGAAUUGUAUUUCUAUUGGAUAGCACUGCUGUAAGAGAAUUCCCUUUAAAAGUAUUGGGACAAGGGGGAAGGGGAUAGCUCAAGUGGUAGAGUGCAUGCUCAGCAACCAAGAGGUCAGGGGUUCAAUCCCCAGUACCACAUCUAAGUGGAAAUCAGUGAAGAAACCUAAUUACCUCCCCCUCAUAAAGUAUUGGGACAAGAGUUCUCGUGUAGGUGUAAGUAGGGCUUUCUCUUUAGGGCCAAGUUAUUGUUUCUUGUCCGAGGUCAGGAGAAUGAUUCUAUUUCCUGGUAAGGCAGGUUUGUAGAAAAAUAUGAGGAGUGGAGACAUUGUACAGUGAGAGGGAAGAAUGUGAAGGCAUUUUUUUGUUGUUGCUGUGCAGAUGAAGAUUAGCUGCUCCUUUAGAGGCCAGGAGGGUGGUUUUCUGUAGAGGGUCAGGCCAGCGGAUCACAGCAUACUCAGGCCAAGUAUUUCUAUAUGAGAUCAGAGUUAGGCUCCUGGGGACAGACAAAUCAGGUGACCCUGUUGGGGUUAGACUAGGGGUUCUUGUACAGGCGGGACAGGUGAUCAUGGUGAUUCAGAUUGUAGAUUGUUUACCAAGGUCAGAGCAGAGGUUCCUAUACAGUACAGGUGAUUUUUAUACUGGUUUGUUUCUUGGAUGUCUCUCAAGAGCCAAAGGUUCCCGUUGAGUGUGAGGGUGGGAUUUUCUGUACCAGCUCAGGACCCAAGUUCCUGCUGGCACUCAGAAGGAGGGGGGUCCUGUGCAGUGUCAGGACAAAGAUCCCGUGCAGAGGUCGGACACUGUUACCUCCAGAGAUUCAGAUAUUCACGAACUCAAGCAACUGAAGCCCCUCAGCCAUUGCUGACCCAUAGUGGGCACGCAGUGAAAAGUGCUGCUUGCUGUUAGGAGUCACUGGGUAGCUCGGAGCCUAAGCCAUGGAGCCUGUCUAGCCCCGGGCCACCAGCUGUGUCACCUCAGGAGACCUACUUAUCCUGUCUGGCUUAGGACGUCCCCCAACUCAGCGCACACACACUCCCCUGAAAGGCUUUGUUAAAUGGAGGAACAGAUGCCACUUUUGGGGGAACACUUUACACAGAUGCCUUGCGGUUUCGAGUUUGAAUACCAUCCUUCCGCAUGGUCAGUGGUCGGUUCACCUGCCAAAAAGGAGGCCAUGGGUGUUUCCCAACUCCACAUCUUUGCUGUAUCUCCACUGGGGAUGUUCUCUCCACCCUACUUCUUAAGACCAGGGAAUUCAGUUCAAGGACUAGAGGAGUGCGCCCCUGGUGUGGCACAGACUGUGAAGUCCACCAGGGGUAGGACAGAGCCCGGCUCCCCUCUCUGUCAAUAGCACCCAGAGAAACAUCAACCUAAGUCUGCUAAGGAGUCAAACGUUUGCCUUAGAACCAAACCACUGUGGUUUUUAAGAGAAAAAGCAUUCACCUUUGUUAAAUGUUAAUAUUUUGUCCUAUUUACUUCAGAUCCUUUUUAAAAGAAAUAUGAUAUUACAGAUAUGGUUGAAGUCCUUGCACCAAUUUCAUUUCCCUCUCUCCUUCCACUGCCUUAAGUUUGGUGUUUAUCUUCAUCGUAAAUAUUUUUAUUCCAUCACUGCAUAUGUAUGUAUGCAUAUAUAAGAAAUGAUACUGGGGGUUUGGGGCCUGUUUUUGAACUUCAUAUAAAUGGAAUCACACAGUAUGUGCUUCUUUUUGCUCAGCAUGUCUGUGACAUUCAUCAUUUUUUAAAUUGAGAUGUAAUUUACAUACCACAAAAUUCACCCUUUUAAAGUGUACAUGUCAGUGGUUAGAACCUUCACAAGAUUGUGCAGCUAUCAUCACUAAUUCCAGAACAUUUUCAUCACCCCAAAAAGAAGCCCUGUGCCCAUUAGCAGUCACUCCCCUUUCCAUUUCCCCCUCCUCCCAGACCCU